rnacentral:rRNA from 1 species
AGAGUUUGAUCAUGGCUCAGGAUGAACGCUAGCUACAGGCUUAACACAUGCAAGUCGAGGGGAAACGACAUCGAAAGCUUGCUUUUGAUGGGCGUCGACCGGCGCACGGGUGAGUAACGCGUAUCCAACCUGCCCAUCACUUGGGGAUAACCUUGCGAAAGUAAGACUAAUACCCAAUGACGUCUCUAGAAGACAUCUGAAAGAGAUUAAAGAUUUAUCGGUGAUGGAUGGGGAUGCGUCUGAUUAGCUUGUUGGCGGGGUAACGCCACCAAGGCGACGAUCAGUAGGGGUUCUGAGAGGAAGGUCCCCCANAUUGGAACUGAGACACGGUCCAAACUCAUACGGGAGCA